ensembl:lncRNA
AAAUAAAAAUCAUUUUAAAAUGUAUUUUCAAGUCAAUGUUUUAAGUUCACCUUGCUUCUGCUGCAGAGGAGUGUUAAGGAUCCUGUCAGCAUGCCUGGCUCCAUUAUUUCAGUAAACUCUUGCAGUAUAUAUGGUCUCAUGUGAAACCAGCUUUUAAAUCAUAGAGUCACAGAAUGGCCUGGGUUGAAAAGGCCCACAAUGCUCAUCUUGUUUCAACCCCCCUGCUGUGUGCAGGGUCGCCAACCACCAGACCAGGCUGCCCAGAGCCACAUCCAGCAUAAAUACAUGAAUACGUUAUAAUGAGUCAGAUUUUGGUAACCAUGACUCACAUGGACAGUGCUGACAAUAUUUGCUAGAUGGUAGUUUUUUCUUGCAGUCUGUGGUGCAACAAAAUCAGUUCAGUGCAUGCAUCCUGCAAAUCUUGUAUCCUAUGUACCUGUAACUUUCAAGCUGUAGUGAAUAGGUCACUGCAUCGUUGUGGUUCUUCCAGGCCUGCUCUGGACUUGCUGUCCAAGUAUGGUGUGCCCAUACAGACAUCUUUUCCUUACCCUUUUGUUGCUGAUGCUUUUCACAUUUACAGAUGUAGACGUGCUGUAUGCAGCGCUAUUGCGCACCGUGGUAAGAGAGGGGCUUGGAUCUAUUUGCUGUCAGGCUGUGGCAGGUGCCAUAAAAAAACAGAAAGGAUAUCACCUACUCUGUCUUCUGAGCUCUGCUUUCAUUUAGUUAGCAGCUGAUUUGCCCUAAGCAGAAUUCCUGCAGUAUGUUAUAAACAACCUGGCUGGCUUCCUUUGUAGCCUGAAGCACUUCAAUUUGGGGAUUUAUCUAUUUUGGAAGAAAGUUGGCUUUGGCCUUUUUAUUUUGUUGGUUUUUUGAAUCUUUUUAGCUUGGUUUGCUCACAAACUGCCUCACGCAUCAGCAUGAAAUAGUUACACGUACCGAGCUUUUUGCUGUCUUGACUUAUUCCAGGUUGGUUCUCCUUGCUACUAAAUACUCACCUGUGAUGUGUAAAAUGCAGGAAGCCAACUCUGAGCCUGUGUUUUACAACUGCAGUACCAACUCCAACCCAGGUCUGAACUGAUGCAUCUCCACUUCUUUAGUUUUUCACCUUGAGGAGUUAUUCUGGUGGAGUUAAAAAUGCAGCAGUCCCAACAGGGUCAGAAAAAGACAACUCAGUCCUCAGUACUGUAGAGAUGCAUCAGAAUUAAAACAUGACUCUACAGCUGUGCUCACAGUUGCUUUUGUUUGCAUGUUAUUGUACGUGUACGUUUAUCCCGUAAGACAGGAGAAUGCAUGAAGUUAUUUGAUCAUGCAGUGACAUAGAAGCUUGUCUGGCUACAGGCUGUGCACUGAAAUCCAUUUUCAGCUUUAUGUGUGACCUCCUAAUUGAGGGCACAAUGGAAAUCGCAUCGAACGUGAUUGGAAUGGACAGUGGUAGCCAAGCGUUGUCCUGCAGUCUUUUGUCGUGUACCUCAAGUGGCUGGAGCAGGCUGACAUAACUACAUUUUUCCUCAUCAGUGUCUGUAGUUCAUGCUGGAAGCAGGUGCCCGAUGCCUGAUCACAGCUGGGCAAGUAAAACAGUUCACACAAUAAUCUGUGCUCUGUUUGAUGUCUUUUCUAUUGGCAAGAUUCUACUAAAUCUCUGAUGUGUGCGAGGAGGAAGAUAGAGGCAGGUCAGGAAUGGAUGAAUUUCUGUAGGUGGAAGCAUAAGAGGAGGAUUCUCUGUCACUGUUGUCUUCUCAUAAGCUGCUUUCAGCCUGGAGAAAGAUGGUAAUUAGAGUGGACAGAAUCUUAAGCUUUUGACUUGCCUCGCCAGCAGUGCCAGGUUUCCCAGUCCUCUAAAAUAUCUGUGCUCUGUGCUGGUUCUGUAGCACGCUUAGCUGCGUGUACCAGAUGGGUGGAUGGAGCCUUUUGUUCUGUUCUGGCCUCGACCUUGAAGUCACAAUCAUCUGACGCUAAGGGGGACAUUUGGGCAUUAUCAUCCUGGCUGGUACAGCUAUGUGACCAUUGUCAAAAGAAGGCAAGACUUAACUAGCUGGGAAGUGUUUAGAUGGACUGCAUGCUGGUAACAAGCAGGAAAGGCUGUCUGAAGGUUUACAGACACCAUGGUGAGCAGAGCUCUCGUACCUGCCCUAGUAAAUAAUCCAGUUAGCAGGGUAGCACUGCUAUGUAUGUGGAGACUCACGGUGCAUGUCCUUCUACGUCCUUUCUUGUGUCCUUAGAGAUUUAUAUAGAGAAUUUGUCAGCAAAAGCACAGAGAAGGAGGUCUUUGACAUAAUAUGGCCCUAGACCUGGUAGAGCUUACAGCUUCAAGUCAACAUCUUGAAUUCAACUUGGGCAGAUGGAGCAUUAAAUUCAACUGUAUCUGGUUGCUGUAGAGCAAAGCCACAAAGCUAUCUCAAACGCAAGUACUAUUAGAUAGGUAUCACUUAGGGGCAUUCUAAAAUGAAAUGACACGUUCUGACAUUCUUGCAGGAGAUGCUAUGCUGCCUUUGUGAUCUGAUGGAUAAUGUUUUCUGCCACCUGGGUAGAAAGAAGAGAUCAUGUGUUUUCUUUCUUUAGUCUCCUAUCUCAACAGAGUGCGGAGUUGGUUCCUGUCUGGACCUGAAUUAAUCUUUAUGAAGAUUGUUAAUACCAUUCUUGCUUCGAGCUACUGAAAAGAGAAGGGGAGCAGUGAGGGGAAAAAAAGAGAGAGAUUAAAGGGAAAAAAGCAGUAGGUUAUACAUGCAUUUUCCUCUGUGCUGCAGGUUAAAUAAUACCCUAUGCAUGUGAAAGAGAUACUGUGAUUAAGGAGCUGUCAGGCAGAACGAGAGUUGGGCAGCAAAGGCAGCAGAGAUGCUUGAGGGAAAAGGGCAGAAAGAGUAGAUCCGUGCAUGCUGCUUCGUGUGAGAACUUGUGAGAACUCUUCAGCUAUUGCAGAGCCUCUGGAAGCGUAGCUGUCAUCAUAUGCCUCCUGUUGGAAUUGGCGAACGGCAGGCACUCACUUUUUAGUCAGCAAAGCAAGCAGAGAGAAGAGGAAAAUGUCAUUGUGUGACCAGAUGUCCAAUGAGUACCACGAUCCUAAAUAUAAAAUUGAGUAUUUUAUAGCUGAGUAUUUUAAGCGUUUUCACCCUAUCUGGUGCAAAUACCUGAAGUAUUUCCACGAAUAUGGAGUGCUCCCAUAUCACCAGUUCCUCAACCACUGACGUGCCAGUUCAAACCAGUUAGUCAUCUACCCAAGCAAAAUCAUCUAG